CCUACGGGGGGCAGCAGUGGGGAAUAUUGGGCAAUGGAGGAAACUCUGACCCAGCGACGCCGCGUGAGGGAUGAAGGCCUUCGGGUUGUAAACCUCUUUCAGUAGGGAAGAAGCGAAAGUGACGGUACCUACAGAAGAAGCACCGGCUAACUAUGUGCCAGCAGCCGCGGUAAUACAUAGGGUGCAAGCGUUGUCCGGAAUUAUUGGGCGUAAAGAGCUCGUAGGUGGUUCGAUACGUCGGAUGUGAAAAUCAGGGGCUCAACCCCUGACCUGCAUCCGA
rnacentral:rRNA from 1 species